ensembl:lncRNA
GCAUAGGAGGCAUACACUAACAAUUCAAGUACACCCAAUAGAUUAAAAGUAAACCAUCAGGGUUUCAGAUAAGAAUAAAGCUCUUUUUUUAGUUUCACCUUGUUACUGCAGAUUUUUCUUUUCUUUUUUUUUCCUUUUCUUUUCUUUUCUUUUUUUUUUCUUUUCUUUAUUUUUGAAAAUCAAACAGAUUACCGGAGCAGGUUUUAGAAGGAAACACUUUCAAAAUACUAUUCUAUUCUGGCAUUUCACAUUUAAUUCAAUGUGUUAUUUGACAUUUAUUUGUAAAUAAUUCUGAAAUUUACUAGCAAAUUAUGUGUGAAAACUGUUUCUACAUCAGUUUUAUUUUCAGUUAGUCAUCUCUCCCUGCUUUAAUAAGACUCAGUGAUGAAGUUAAAGGAAAGUAAUUUUAUUGCAUUUUAUUGGCUAGAGAUAAAUGUGAGAUGUAUAGAUAGUGUUGAGAUAGCAGUAGUGUAGAGAGAACAGUGUUGUGGAAAAAAUCAGUCCAAAUGAAUUUUUUUUUUUUUUUUUGCUGAAUUGGUCAGGUGGUUUGAUUUAUUUAUUUAUUUAUUUUUAUUUUGUGUGUGUGUGUGUGUGUGUGUGUGUGUACUUUACCUUUAAAACCUAACAAAUGUCUUUAUAUGGAAUCUUUUGCUUAAAGUGUGCCUGUGAUGUAUUUCUGUAAAAUAAAUGCCUCUUGGUUUGACCUUUUGUUAUCUAAUGCAAUGACAUUCAUACAUUUUUCCGUGUAGCAGAUAAUUGUCAGGGGACCAUCAUGUUCCAGGAAGCUUUCAACAGUCAGAAUGUCUUAGAGCUCAGAAGGUGCUGCUCCAGCAGUGCUGUCAGACCCGGUUUCACCUGCUGUCUCCCUCUGAAGCUCCUCACACAAACGCACACAUCCUAAAUUGUGGCGCCGCGGGGGAAAUGUGCCACACCACCACUGAGCUGGAACCCAAAACUAAUUAUUCCCUUAGUUAGAAGGACCUUUUUAAUAUCAUGUCUCGGAUGGGCCAUCUGGAAUUUGAGAAGAGCUUUUACAGGAAUAAAAAAAAAAAAAAAAAAAAGGCA